GGCAGUUCUCGGGUGACACACCCUGGCUCCCUCCUCUCUGGUUCCAGGUGCAUCACCUGAGAACCGCA
rfam:Myotis lucifugus cont2.28009, whole genome shotgun sequence.